rnacentral:rRNA from 1 species
AAGCAUUUAUUAGACUUAACCAUCUACUGUGUGGCAACACACGGUAAGGCGAAUCUAGAUAACUUUGCUGAUCGUAUGACCUAGUGUCGACGACGUUUCAAUUGAGUUUCUGCCCUAUCAAUUUGUUGGUAAGGUAUUGGCUUACCAAGGUUGUAACGGGUAACGGGGAAUCAGGGUUCGAUUCCGGAGAGGGAGCCUGAGAAACGGCUACCACAUCCAAGGGGGGCAGCAGGCGCGCAAAUUACCCAAUCUAGACAGUAGGAGGUGGUGAAGAGAAGUACUAAGUGGUUGCCCAAUGGGUACCAACUUGGAAUGAACGCAAUUUAAGCAAUUCGUUGAGUAACUACUGGAGGGCAAGUCCUGGUGCCAGCAGCCGCGGUAAUUCCAGCUCCAGUGGCGUGAUUUAAAGUUGCUGCGUUUAAAACGCUCGUAGUUGGAUCACGCAGUAGUAUUCAGUAAACUAGAGAUGUGCAAUGUCCUGGUCUAUUCUAGACUUUUUAAGGAUAGAUAGGCCGGGGUGUACAAAUUUGGAUGUUAACGCUGAAUGCUACUAUUUGCACGUGAGUGUGGUAUUUGACCUUUAGUGUGUCGAAUGUCAUGUCUUACGGAGUGUGCCUUGAAUAAAACAGAGUGCUUAAAGCAGGCGUAAGCUUGAAUGUUAUAGCAUGGAACGAACAAACGUGUAUUCGUACGUGUAUUGCGAUGGAACAGCUUCGGUUGAUUUGUCCCAAAUACGUACAGCACCCACCUUAGUACGGAUGUUGGUUUUCGUAUACGGUGAUGAUUAACAGGAGCGGUUGGGGGCAUUGGUAUUUGGCCGCGAGAGGUGAAAUUCUUGGACCGGCCAAGGACUAACAGAUGCGAAGGCGUUUGUCUAGACCGUUUCCAUUAAUCAAGAACGAAAGUGGGAGGUUCGAAGACGAUCAGAUACCGUCCUAGUUCCCACCAUAAACUAUGCCGACCUGGGAUCAGUUUAGUGUUAUACAAGCUCUAGGUUGGUCCCCCUGGGAAACCUCAAGUUUUUCGGUUACGGGGAGAGUAUGGUCGCAAGUCUGAAACUUAAAGGAAUUGACGGAAGGGCACCACCAGGGGUGGAGCCUGCGGCUUAAAUUGACUCAACACGGGGAAACUUACCUGGUCCGGACAUCGAUAGGAUAAACAGACUGAUAGAUCUUUUUUGAUAUGAUGAGUGGUGGUGCAUGGCCGUUCUUAGUUCGUGGAGUGAUCUGUCAGGUUAAUUCCGGUAACGAACGAGACCACUGUCUCCAUUUAAGAGGUGAAAGUAGAACUGGUUCCGAUACAUCUCGGUGUAGCGGUGACUGGUUUGUAGGUAAAGUUGUAGAAUUUUCAGCUGUGGUGUGGAGGGUAACUAAAGCAUUGCAGUUGGGAAGGAUACGAUUCUCCCUUACGCAAUGUAGUGUCAGGUAAUACCUGUAUGCUACCUUAUGGAGAGACAACAGGUACAUUUAAGCCUGAGGAAGUGUGGCUAUAACAGGUCAGUGAUGCCCUUCGAUGUUCAGGGCUGCACGCGCGCUACAAUGAUAACGGCAGCAAGUGUCUGGGUCGAGAGACUUGGGUAAUCUCUAAUCGUUAUCGUGAUGGGGAUUGACCAUUGUAAAUUGGUCAUGAAAGAGGAAUCCCUAGUA